GCGAAAACUUUACAAUGCUGGAAACAGCGAUAAGGGGACCUCGAGUGCCAGGUUACAAAUCUGGCUGUCGUGAUGCCUAAAAAGCAUUGCAUAGCAAGGGCCGGGCAAGACCGGUGCCAGCCGCCGCGGUAACACCGGCGGCUCGAGUGGUAACCGUUAUUAUUGGGUCUAAAGGGUCUGUAGCCGGCCGGAUAAGUCUCUUGGGAAAUCCAGCAGCUCAACUGUUGGGCUUUCAGGAGAUACUGUCUGGCUCGAGGCCGGGAGAGGUGAGAGGUACUUCAGGGGUAGGGGUGAAAUCUUGUAAUCCUUGAAGGACCACCAGUGGCGAAGGCGUCUCACCAGAACGGACCUGACGGCAAGGGACGAAAGCUAGGGGCACGAACCGGAUUAGAUACCCGGGUAGUCCUAGCCGUAAACGAUACUCGCUAGGUGUCGGCCACGGUGCGACCGUUGUCGGUGCCGUAGGGAAGCCGUGAAGCGAGCCACCUGGGAAGUACGGCCGCAAGGCUGAAACUUAAAGGAAUUGGCGGGGGAGCAC
rnacentral:rRNA from 1 species